AAAUGCGUGAAAUGAACACGACCUCUUAACCACAAAUUACGUGGUGGUGGCACGGAUUGUGUUGAAAUUGCGUGUCGGCAGCACGGAAACAAGACCCAUACAAAGUCAAUGAGGCUAUUUUGUCGUGUGGGUGACACGGAUUCCCUGGUUUAAUAACGUCACACAGUGGGCGGCGGUAAAAGCUAUUACGUUGGUCCUUAACUUAAUAUAAGCAGUGCUAUACGUUGGUCCUGAACAUAAAAUAAAUAUAGCCAAUUUAUUGCAGCGCUAUUACAUUUGUCAUGAGCAUAAUACAUUCAAAGCAUAGAUUAAAUCGUACUAUACCAUACGAUUUUGCAGAAACGCUCGGGAAUUCAGGUGCUGUAAAUCCGGUGGACAGGACUCAUCUCGUUAUAGAUCAAGAUAAUUUAUAAAGAUCUUUAAGGGUCGGAAUAUCAGAUAGUUGACAUAGUUCAUAUUUUUAAUUAAAAAAGUAAAAACGAAAUAAGAGGAAUAGCAUACAUUAUUGUUGUUGCGGUGUGUCACGUGACAAUCAUGACCCGUCGCCAUGGACACAAGGGGUCGGAUAUUUAAAGUUAAAUAUUUUUAACUUACGCGUGAAAUGGUUAAUUUUAAAUAUAUAUAUAUUCUAAGUAAACAACAACAGCCCAAGUUUAGUAAACAUUUUUUUUAUUGAAACUAUAAAUAAAUAUUCUGCAUCCAUUAGGUGUGCCACUGUGGGUGGCUCUUGCACACCCGUGGCUACGCCCCUGCCGUGACCCAAAUCUCGUUCGCACAUCAUCGCGAUGUUUAUCAUCAAUUUACAAACCUCGCCAGUCGCCACAUCUUUUUUCUUCACAUACAUCUCAUACUCCUCCAUCUACACUCUUCACAACAUUUAAACCAACGGCUCUUUUAACAGCCAUCACUUGCAAAAGCUCUCCUACUCACUCACUCACUCACUCACUCUCCAACUCACUCAAGGUGCGUUCCAUUCGACCGUAAGUCGACCAUCGACCAUCAAGAGAUUAGCCUAUCCCCUGUAUGUCAUUGAUGCACUACUUCAAAGAUGUGAGAAAAAGAACAUACACCUGCGAGUAGUCUGUUACAUUGACUGUGUUGCUGCCUCACAUUUGCAGAAAUCAGGGGAGGGCAUAUCACACAACAUUGCCUUGGCCGUACCAGCAUUUCAUGUUUAUGGACACAAAUUGCCCUGCCAGAUCAAGUACAGUACCAGAUGGCUUGAUGGGUUUGGGCUCACAGACGGGGAAGGAAUGGAAAGGCUGUGGUCUUUCCUCCAAAGAUUUGCCAGAGUCACAAAGGAGAUGACUCCAUCUCAUCGCCUUGACCUACUGACUGAUGCCCUUUUGCAUUAUGGACGGAGGAAAUCAACUGACCUAGAGGUGCAGCUCCUGCAAAGAGUAGACAAAGCAGAGAAAAUAUUGCUCAAGAAGAUAUCUCAUCAGAUAGG